UGGGGAAUAUUGGACAAUGGGGGCAACCCUGAUCCAGCAAUGCCGCGUGUGUGAAGAAGGUCUUCGGAUUGUAAAGCACUUUCGACGGGGACGAUGAUGACGGUACCCUUAGAAGAAGCCCCGGCUAACUUCGUGCCAGCAGCCGCGGUAAUACGAAGGGGGCUAGCGUUGCUCGGAAUGACUGGGCGUAAAGGGCGUGUAGGCGGUUUACACAGUCAGAUGUGAAAUCCCCGGGCUUAACCUGGGAGCUGCAUUUGAUACGUGUAGACUAGAGUGUGAGAGAGGGUUGUGGAAUUCCCAGUGUAGAGGUGAAAUUCGUAGAUAUUGGGAAGAACACCGGUGGCGAAGGCGGCAACCUGGCUCAUGACUGACGCUGAGGCGCGAAAGCGUGGGGAGCAAACAGGAUUAGAUACCCUGGUAGUCCACGCCUGUAAACGAUGUGUGCUAGAUGUUGGGUAA
rnacentral:rRNA from 1 species